rnacentral:rRNA from 1 species
CAGUCGCCGCGGUAAUACGAGGGGGGCAAGCGUUGUUCGGAAUUAUUGGGCGUAAAGGGUGCGUAGGCGGUUUGGCAAGUUUGGUGUGAAAUCUUCGGGCUCAACUCGAAGUCUGCAUCGAAAACUGCCGGGCUUGAGUAUGGGAGAGGUGAGUGGAAUUUCCGGUGUAGCGGUGAAAUGCGUAGAUAUCGGAAGGAACACCUGUGGCGAAAGCGGCUCACUGGACCAUAACUGACGCUGAUGCACGAAAGCUAGGGGAGCAAACAGGAUUAGAUACCCGAGUAGUCCCUGUCUCUUAUAC